AGGGGCUUCAGCUCAGAAGGCCUUGUUGAGAAUGGAAUGGAGAGCAGGAACAAGAGAGAGGGGCAAAGGCAUUGCCAGCAUUCUCUGUUCGGCUGUUCUCCACCCACUGCCUUUCCUCCUGCUUCCCUCUAAGUCCAGGGCAUUUUCCCUUUUGAUAAACUUCCCCUUUUACAACCCAUCCAAGGGUGAAAAACAAAGUCAUUACUUUUUUUUCAGUACCUCUAAGGCAAAGCAGCAGAAACAGGCAGUCACCACUACGAAUAAGUGACUACAACAAGAGCUAGGCCAAACUCUGCCAUGUGGGCUGCAUUUUAUUGGGCCGGCAAGUAACUUUAAAUCCCAGCUCACACUCUACUGAGUGAAAGUCUGAUGAACCCGCAUCUUCUUGUGAACAACUGCGCCUGAGAUCAGUCAUGCAAGAAGUAGCACCCCCACCCCCAGACAACUAACUUCCCAGGCUGUGACCAACAAGCAGCCAAGAGGCCAGGACAGGGAAGUCUCAGGACCUUUCUAGGAAAUCAAUACCUUUCUCUGGGUUUGUUCUGCCUGAAAUAAUACCAAUCUCCCUCCAACAGCUUAGCAUGUGUGGAGCAUUUGAUACUAACAGCAACCCUGCAAGGCAGGAAGGCAGUAGGGAGAGGCCCAAGAGGAAUUCAGCAUUAAGGCAGUGAGACUGACAGAGGGGACCCCCUGAGGACAUUCUGGAAGGUCUUAGCCAGGGCCAGGAUGCAGACCCUUCAUGUCACUGUAGCUGAGACGAGGUGCAAGGUUCACAGCAUAUAACCUAAUUUUAUUACAAGAAUAAAGACUCAGAGUUUAAAUACUCCUGCUUUGGGGCUCAUUAGUAACAAGUUCUCCAAUAUUCAAAAGGCAAAGUGGAUGUGUUUUAGUGUAAAAUUAACACUAGCUGCUGUAACAAAUAAGCCCCCAAACAUAUGAUAUCUCAAACACCGUAGGUUUAUUUCUCACUCACAUCAGAGUCAAAAUGGAUGUUUCUAACCUGCAGCUGGGGCUUCUCCCAGCAGUAUUAGGGGCACUUUCCAUCUUGUGGCUCCACCGUCUGUAAUGCAGGACUCCAAGUGGUGGAAGAGGACGGAGCAGAGGAGUCACACAUGGGUGUGUGUCUGGCCCAGGGUGGAAGUGGAUGUGCAUUUCUUCUGCCCACCUCACUCACAAGGCCACACCCCACUGCAAGAGAGGCUGGAGAAUGCGGACUGGAUUUAAACCCAAGAAGAAGAAAUGGUUUUCUGAAUAGUUGGCCAUUUACUGACACAAAAAGGGUCAAAGUGACUUGCAGAGGAGAUGAAUUUUAAAUACUAU
rnacentral:lncRNA from 1 species